rnacentral:rRNA from 1 species
GUUUUCUAAAUAAAGACUAGUAUGAAAGGCAUCACGAGAUUUAAACUGUCUCCUUUUCCUAAUCAGUGAACCUAAUCCCCCCGUGAAGAAGCGGGGAUGACCUUAUAAGACGAGAAGACCCUGUGGAGCUUAAAACAAUUCUACACGUGCUACCCCAUUUUACGCCAAGGCCUCAUCACCUCCCCAAACCGCACGCUGAUUAUAUGUUUUUGGUUGGGGUGACCACGGAGAACAAAAAACCCUCCGCGAUGAAGGGGACAUACUCCUUAAAUUAUAAGCCACGACUUAACCUAUCAAUAAAUUGACAUUCAUUGACCCAAUAUUUUGAUCAACGAACCAAGUUACCCCAGGGAUAACAGCGCAAUCCACUUUAAGAGCUCCUAUCGACAAGUGGGCUUACGACCUCGAUGUUGGAUCAGGGUAUCCCAGUGGUGCAGCCGCUACUAAAGGUUCGUUUGUUCAACGAUUAAAACCCUAC